rnacentral:rRNA from 1 species
AGUGAACGCUGGCGGUAGGCCUAACACAUGCAAGUCGAACGGCAGCACAGUAAGAGCUUGCUCUUACGGGUGGCGAGUGGCGGACGGGUGAGGAAUACAUCGGAAUCUACUUUUUCGUGGGGGAUAACGUAGGGAAACUUACGCUAAUACCGCAUACGACCUACCGGUGAAAGCAGGGGAUCUUCGGACCUUGCGCGAUUGAAUGAGCCGAUGUCGGAUUAGCUAGUUGGCGGGGUAAAGGCCCACCAAGGCGACGAUCUGUAGCGGGUCUGAGAGGGUGAUCAGCCACCCGGGAACUGAGACACGGUCCAGACUCCGAGGGGAGGAAGCAGUGGGGAAUAUUGGACAAUGGGCGCAAGCCUGAUCCAGCCAUACCGCGUGGGUGAAGAAGGCCUUCGGGUUGUAAAGCCCUUUUGUUGGGAAAGAAAAGCAGCAGGUUAAUACCCCGCUGUUCUGACGGUACCCAAAGAAUAAGCACCGGCUAACUUCGUG